rnacentral:lncRNA from 1 species
AUUCAGGCUUAACCACUGAGCCAUGAUCAUGGCCCAUUUAAUAAGGUCAAAAAUAUGGACUUGAUCAAGCUUCAACUGUUGAGGUUGAUCUAAGAAAAAUUCUGAUCUAAUCUAAUUCAACUUUUGAUUAGAUUUAACUAAUUUCUUUAUUCAGUCCAUAUUUAUUUCUAACCCUAGGUCUAACCUAAUAGAAGGAUCUGAUUCAUGCUAACCUAUUGCCCAUCGAUUUAUGUAGUGUCUUAGUAAUCUUUAAUUCUCAAAUCUAGAUCGAUUAAAACUUAAUUCUAAAUUAAGUGUGUAAAAUAUGUGUUUCAGUUUGUAGAACUAUUUUACUAGAAUUUCAAGUGAAGCAUACCAUAUAUUUUAUAUCAUAAAAAUCAACUUUUAUAUAUAUAUAUUUAAUAAUUAAAUAUAAUAAGUAUGAUCUAAACUUCAUACAUACAUCACAUGUAUCAUGGCUA